rnacentral:tRNA from 1 species
UACAAUCAUUCACUCUGUCUGUUUAUUCAUCCCAGUGUUUCACGGUUCAUUAGUCUUGGCAUAUUUAC